GACGAACGCUGGCGGCGUGCCUAAUACAUGCAAGUCGAGCGGACGGAUGGUAGCUUGCUCCCAUUCCGUCAGCGGCGUACGGGUGAGUAACACGUUGGCAACCUGCCUGUAAUACUGGGAUAACUCCGGUAAACCGGGUCUAAUACCUGAUAACUCUUUCCCUCACAUGAGGGAAAGCUGAAAUCUGGCCUCUCGCUAUCACUUACACAUGUGCCCGCGUCGCAUUAGCUAGUUGGUGAGGUAACGGCUCACCAAGGCGACGAUGCGUAGCCGACCUGAGAGGAUGAUCGGCCACACUGGGACUGAGACACGGCCCAGACCCCUACGGGAGGCAGCAGUAGGGAAUAUUCGGCAAUGGGCGAAAGUCUGACGGAGCAACGCCGCGUGAGUGAUGAAGGUCUUCGGAUCGUAAAACUCUGUUGUCAGGGAAGAAAAAGUACCGGAGUAAAUGCCGGUACCUUGACGGUACCUGAAGAGAAAGCAACGGCUAACUACGUG
rnacentral:rRNA from 1 species